rnacentral:rRNA from 1 species
UACGAAGGGGGCUAGCGUUGCUCGGAAUCACUGGGCGUAAAGCGCACGUAGGCGGACUCUUAAGUCGGUGGUGAAAUCCUGGAGCUCAACUCCAGAACUGCCUUCGAUACUGAGAGUCUCGAGUCCGGGAGAGGUGAGUGGAACUGCGAGUGUAGAGGUGAAAUUCGUAGAUAUUCGCAAGAACACCAGUGGCGAAGGCGGCUCACUGGCCCGGUACUGACGCUCAGGUUCGAAAGCGUGGGGAGCAAACAGG